AUGAGAAGUUACUACGUGUUUAACAACAUCAACAGAAGAACAUAGAAUCCGUCACUGUGUGUCAAGCCAGUUACAUCUGCAAAACUUUGAAGUAAUUGGGUCAGGACAAAAUCCUGUACAUGUACACAUAUUGGAGGGAACUAUCGGUAACUCGACAACAAGGUUGGAGACUUCAUCAUAUGAUUGUACGCCCAUAUCUUCCACUUCAUAUGGAACAACCGCCGAAGGUAAUACAGUCUCCAAAACACUUCUGUAUAGUAAUUACACUCAGUAUCAGUUGAGCGGUCCAAACGUAUUCGAAAUUCCAAAGGCAUGUUUGACGACAGCUCAGCCAGUUGGGAAGUAAUGCACUAGGAGUUCUGUGCACAUGCUAGAUCCAAGGCUUAUGAAUAAAAAUUAAAAACAAACAAACCCAUAAAAUAUUACUUUUACGAUAAGCGUACCAUGUAAAUUACAUUUGUUCUUUUUAUAGGAAAAAAGGUUUUGAGAUUGUUUGAUAUAUGAAUUUAUUUACAAAUAAUUUACUGCUAGUGCACGAUGAAUACAUACAGCUAUUACGAUAAGCGAGUAACCUGUAGUUUGUUAGCUCAUGAAUCGCACCAAAGUAUCUCAUUAAUAUUCAAAGUAUUUGCUCUAAGAUUGUUUAGCCUAAUUAAAAA